GCCAACGGCCAUAGGGGGCUGGUCCCCCCGGUUCCCGUACGAUCCCCGAAGUUAAGCAGCAUCGGGGGGGGGGCAAACUUGGAUGGGGGACCGUUUGAGAACCCCCCGUGCUGUUGGCU
rfam:Pediculus humanus corporis strain TSDA 1103172092480, whole genome shotgun sequence.